ensembl:lncRNA
UGGCAGUUGGAGAGAAAGGGACUGUUGGUGCGUCUGUGUAGUCGGCUGCCUCUUUCCUCUCUAGACUGUUAAUCCUAUUUGGUGUGUGCAGUGAAAAUGGCUGUCAAUAGUUUAAGCUGAUAAGCGAGAGAGGCAAAGGGUUUAACCACAGACCUCCAAACAGAGUCUGGUCUCCACAGAGAAGGGAUAGAGUACUUUCAUUCCCUCCUUUUUCCCUUUUUCCUCUCUCUCUCUCACUUACUGUCUCAUUCCUCCUGCUCUCCGAAUCAUUCCAGCAUUGCAAAGAAGCUCAGGGUGAACAGAAAAUCUCGUUUUUUAAUAGAGGCAUUUUCAAGAGGGCACCAACAGCAAAGCUGAGGGGGUCGGCAUUCGAGGGCGAUUUGUUUCUUUGUGAAGUUGGCGUGAUUGAAGUGUGGAACCGGAGCAGGAGCACCAGAGAAAGCGGCAAAAAUUGCAGACACCCAAGAGAACAGAGACCAGAAUAUCACACGGACGCAAACAAAAACACCAAAGUCAUCAAUAAAUAACUGUGACUGUGGCGCUUUGAGACCGUGUGAGCGGGAUGAUCUGUGCUUGGGCUAAACUGUCCUUGGGAACUACGCCACGCUCCCCAUCAGCCAGCCCUGACAGAGCUGGCAGUGCUCCGCACGGGCAGCAUUUUGGAGAGUCGCCGUCGAGAGGAAAGCAGGAAACGGAGAGAAGGGAUGAAAAAACAAGAAAGAAAGCAUAAAAUGAGAUCAAGUCUUUGUGUUUGUUGGAGCGGUCAGGAUGUACAGUAGCUGCUAAAUAAGAGAUGGAUAACAAAGAUUAGAACAAGUAAGUGAAAGAAAGACACCAUCACAAAUGGAUUCAGGAUGGAUUAGGUUCUGCAUGCACUGCAUUAGAACACAGCACAGGUUGGCAAAUAUCCUAAUAUUGUCUAAUUCGCAAUUUAGCAGAGACUUUUAUUCAAAGGUAUUUACUGAAUUAACAGAUAAGCAACUUUCUUUGUCAAGGGCAACUGAAAAAUAGCAGGAUGCCAGUAUAUUCAUCCCUCAAAACCUUCGGGUUGAACCUCCGACCUAAAUACUGGAAGUCUCAAGGAACUACAGUUACUUCUACUGUGAUGUUGCAAAGCUUUUGCAAUAUGGAGGUCUGUUUCCACCUCAGAGUAAAAGAUAAGAAAAGUUAAUUGUGAAAUUAGAGUUUAUUUCUUAUCUUAAAGUGAAAAUCGAGAGACAUAACGUCGCAAUUACUCAGUUUCCACUUGCAAAACCCAAGUUUUACAGUAAAAUUGUAAUGCAAUGUCAAUCCAUUUAAAGUUUUUCCACUCUAUGUAGUAAGGUAAUGGACAUUUAACAAAUUAACAGGUUGUGCUCUAGCAUUUUAGGUUUUUUUUCUGUAAAAAAAUUAUAAACAUUAUGAUAUCCAGUGCAUUAUUGCAGCAUCAUUGCUUUUUGAUGUUAAUUUGAUUUAAUAGGUAACGUCCAUUAUUGUUCAGACUGACAGUCUAUUUCAAAUGAUUCAUUCAGUUCAAGUAUUUCACAUAAUGGACAGCAUAUUGUAUAUUUUUUUAGGGGGGUAGGUGAAGAAAAAUGCUCUUAUAUAAAAUAUGUGCCUGAAAAACAAUUUCAGGGCACAAAUAUUGACCCUUAAUAGUUUAUUUCCGACCCUGGUCAGGUCUAAUUCAGUCUUGAUUCCUCUUCCUACUGCUCUUCUAAAAAGUCAAAAUCUCCAAUAAGCUAUCAGCUCUAUAUGUACUGUAUAUCCACAUCUGUGCAACUGCUGACAUUAAUUUACAUCAGCUGCAGACUGAGAUCGGCUUGUUCCAUUUCACAGGAGCGUGGAAAAUGCCAUGCUUGACAGAGAGCGCAUGUAGUCUAUGUCCCUGUAGUGUCUAAGGAAAGCAUGACAAUUACUAUUGCUCAGACUAAAGGUUAGGGAUUUGGGAAAAGCCUUAGAUAAAAGACAGUACACCCAAAAACAUUUAUUUUCAACAUUGUUGGUAAGGAAACAGUUUUGGUUUAGUUCACUUCCACUGUACGAAAAAUAAAAACACUGACACAUUUCUCA